UACAGAGGGGGCAAGCGUUGUUCGGAAUUACUGGGCGUAAAGGGCGCGUAGGCGGCCUUCUAAGUCGAACGUGAAAUCCCUGGGCUCAACCCAGGAACUGCGUCCGAUACUGAAAGGCUUGAAUCCGGGAGAGGGAUGCGGAAUUCCAGGUGUAGCGGUGAAAUGCGUAGAUAUGCGGAGGAACACCGAUGGCGAAGGCAAUCCCCUGGGCCUGCACUGACGCUCAUGCACGAAAGCGUGGGGAGCAAACAGG
rnacentral:rRNA from 1 species